rnacentral:ncRNA from 1 species
UUUUUUUUAAAUUGAGGGGGUUUUAUUUCUUUUAAAUACAACUUAUCUAACAUAACAUAACACCUCAACAUCUCCUCCAUAAUGGGUUGUAGAGCACCUCGCUACUCUUGGUGUAUCAGGCUAGAUAUAUAAUAUUUCUAUGAUAAAUUACCCUAUGGGAUGUUUGCAAAUAUGCUACUAUGUUAAUAUUCAUUUCAAGCUAUCUUCGUUGUAUAUAACAAACAAUGUCUAGAUAGAAUGGGAUUUUAGUUAUAGAGGAAUAUAGAGUAAAGGUGAAUUUUUAAUUCUUCAACAUGUUUUCCUUCUUCACUUAUGGUUGUUCUUAGUUUGUGGAACAAUUUUUCUCAUUGAUAUGUUAACAAAUGAGACCUCAUCCUGCUAACUAGCUACAUGGAGAUUCCCCUUCAUGACCAAGUUCUUAGAGGGGAUAUGGUCAUUUAAGCCAUGGAAGUUUGAGGCAAUAAUAGGUUUGUGAUGCCUUUAUAUGUUCUGAUCUACACACACACUACACCGAUGUAGUGAAAGAGUCACCAUUGAAGUUUGAGGCACUAAUAAGUCUGUGAUGCUCUUAUAUGUUCUAGGCUGCACACACGCUAUAGUGAUGUAGUGAAAGAAUUGUUCUCCCAGUUUGAGAGGACUACGGAAUAUUCUCAAAUUGUGUCUUGAUGGGGAUAUACCAUUGCCAUUAUUGAUCAUCAAUGAGGAAUUCCUUGUAAGAACAUGUCAGAAACUUAUGUUUCCUAUGUCCUUGCCCUUUGUACACAUAGCCUGGCACUACUACCGAUCAAAA